CUUGCUUCUCUGAUGUUAGCGGCGGACGGGUGAGUAACACGUGGAUAACCUACCUAUAAGACUGGGAUAACUUCGGGAAACCGGAGCUAAUACCGGAUAAUAUUUUGAACCGCAUGGUUCAAAAGUGAAAGACGGUCUUGCUGUCACUUAUAGAUGGAUCCGCGCUGCAUUAGCUAGUUGGUAAGGUAACGGCUUACCAAGGCAACGAUGCAUAGCCGACCUGAGAGGGUGAUCGGCCACACUGGAACUGAGACACGGUCCAGACUCCUACGGGAGGCAGCAGUAGGGAAUCUUCCGCAAUGGGCGAAAGCCUGACGGAGCAACGCCGCGUGAGUGAUGAAGGUCUUCGGAUCGUAAAACUCUGUUAUUAGGGAAGAACAUAUGUGUAAGUAACUGUGCACAUCUUGACGGUACCUAAUCAGAAAGCCACGGCUAACUACGUGCCAGCAGCCGCGGUAAUACGUAGGUGGCAAGCGUUAUCCGGAAUUAUUGGGCGUAAAGCGCGCGUAGGCGGUUUUUUAAGUCUGAUGUGAAAGCCCACGGCUCAACCGUGGAGGGUCAUUGGAAACUGGAAAACUUGAGUGCAGAAGAGGAAAGUGGAAUUCCAUGUGUAGCGGUGAAAUGCGCAGAGAUAUGGAGGAACACCAGUGGCGAAGGCGACUUUCUGGUCUGUAACUGACGCUGAUGUGCGAAAGCGUGGGGAUCAAACAGGAUUAGAUACCCUGGUAGUCCACGCCGUAAACGAUGAGUGCUAAGUGUUAGGGGGUUUCCGCCCCUUAGUGCUGCAGCUAACGCAUUAAGCACUCCGCCUGGGGAGUACGACCGCAAGGUUGAAACUCAAAGGAAUUGACGGGGACCCGCACAAGCGGUGGAGCAUGUGGUUUAAUUCGAAGCAACGCGAAGAACCUUACCAAAUCUUGACAUCCUUUGACAACUCUAG
rnacentral:rRNA from 1 species